rnacentral:lncRNA from 1 species
GAGCCCCUUGUUGACACUUUCCCAAAGCUCGGUAAAUUUCAGCGAGGAUCAUAUGUACUAUGCUGAAGGAAUAUCCGUCGAUCCCUUCCAUUAAAGUCUUGGUAACUAUGGCUAGUCUGAUGUGAAUCCUAGCCUUCUUCAUAAGGAAAAUUACCAUGCCCAAGAAGCAAAAUAUGAGCACAAACACCCUUGUAUGUAUGUGUCCCAAAGAG